rnacentral:rRNA from 1 species
UACGUAGGGGCGAGCGUUGUCCGGAAUGAUUGGGCGUAAAGGGCGCGUAGGCGGCUGUGCAAGUCAGUAGUGGAAGCCCAGCUUUAAGGUUGGAAGUGCUAUUGAAACUGUGCAGCUUGAGUGCAGGAGAGGUAAGGGGAAUUCCCGGUGUAGCGGUGAAAUGCGUAGAUAUUAGGAGGAACACCAGUGGCGAAGGCGGCUUCCUGGUCUGUAACUGACACUGAGGCGCGAAAGCGUGGGGAGCAAACAGGAUUAGAUACCCCCGGUAGU